GAACAAAAGCUGCUUUAGUAGGCCCAUUGAUCUAGGAGGUACGAGAUGCCAGCCCUCAGGGAAAUGUGAAACAUGCAGGUAUGAGUGGUCCAUGCUUAGGAAUGUUAGAACAGAGGAGGCCAACCAGGGGUGCCAGCUAGAGAUGAGCUCUCUGGAAUGGUGUUCAGUCAUGUGGAAAUCACACCAGAUUGGGACUUAAGGUGGAGUCUGGCAGUGGUAGGAUAGAAUACUUUAAAAGUGGAGGGUGCCAGGUGAAUGAAUCAGGGAUCCAAGGGGUGGGUCACAUUUGGUGAGAGCUUGAUGUCACGAGACAGUGUAGGGUCAGGUGAGGCCAUCACUUUUCUUUACUCUGUUGACACUAAAAGACAAGAAUGAAAGGCUGGGAAUCAGUUCUUACCAUCAUUUCUCUGGGCUACAGCAGUCGUUCAUUAUUCAUGAAUAAUAUGUCUUUUUCAUUGAAUUCAUGGGUCUCUGUGUUCUUUUCUGUCAUUCAUUUAAAGUAGA
rnacentral:lncRNA from 1 species